GUAUCAGAAAAAGCAUGCGAUUGUCCUGCCCAAUGCGAGUUUGAUAAAUUUAGGGUAUCGGUUACCUCCACAAAAUUAGUACCAGGUAAAAUAAUCGAUGGUUUAAAUGGUAGUAAAGAUGUGCUACAUAUCAAUGUAUUUUUCUCGAAACAUCAACAGAUAUGGACUACUAACGUAAUAACUACCAGUAUAUAUUUGUGGUCAUCAUUUGGAGGGAUCUACAGCUUCUUCUUAGGCUGUAGCAUCAUCAGUAUUUUGGAGAUUUUCUACUAUAUUGGAAAGGUGUAUGUUUAUCGUGAAAAACAAGUAAAUAUAGUAAAACCAAACAUUAUUGAAAAAGAUGCGCUUAAUUUCGAAGACACAAAAAUAGAGCGCUUAUAUCCUAGUAUUCAGUAUGUUAACUAAUGCAAUAAAAACAUAUUAAUAGAAUGAAUAAGUUGUAUUUUGAGUGUUUUUUUUAACAAUGAAAAAUACUUAAUUUAAAUCAUUGUAACUAAUUAUAAAA